ensembl:misc_RNA Vault Vault RNA
GGGCUGGCUCUAGCUCAGCGGUUCCUUCGCCUGCACAGUGAAACUGCUCACUCACGGCGCCGGCCCUGCCGGUUCGAGCCCCGCGGGCGCUCCCAGCCCGUUU